rnacentral:misc_RNA from 1 species
CCCUGUCUGAAUGGGGCCGUGACUCUCUUACACCCUCAUAGGCUUCCCUAUCCCGAAUAGUUGCCAUUGAAGGGGAAUGGAAAGGCACUGCAGCUGAUGGCACUGACUGGUAUACAGCAGGUCGGAAAAGUGCACUGAGCUUCCUAACCUGUUGAACAGUAAGUUCUAUUUUGAACUUGUUCUUUUCAUCAUAAUUGUCCUUUAUGGCCUUCUUGAAAACACUCUCAGGGAGUGGAAAACAAUCUUUGUGAAUACCAAACCGUACCUGAACUGGGAAGGACCCGCCAAAAGCCUUUGGCUCCAAUUUCAUCCCGCCAGAAGAUGAUGCUUUGUAGAUUCCAUACAUAAGUUUGAGAUCAAAAUCAUACAGGAAAAGCUUAAGUCCAGGUUUCACACCCAGCACAACAUCUUUUUUACUUGCUGUCACACCCAUGACUCGAUAAUGAAAACAAUCUGGUUUGGUCUUUGCAUUACACAUGAAGAUUAAACCACCAAGCUUCUCUUUCUUUCUUUCAUCUCCUUGAUUCUUUUCCUCAUCAAGCUUUCCUUUGUCCUUUUGACUCCUUGAGCUCUUAUCAGGACCACCUUGCUUCUCAUCAUUCCUUUGGCUAUGUUGGCUCCUACUUGAACCAGCAAUCCUUGCUUGGCUCUUUUGAGUCUCUAUUCCCCUCCCAGUGUGCUCUUCAUUGGCACCAUUCUUUUGUAAUUUCCCUACCCUUGAAUUUUGAUUCUGAUCAUUCUUGUUCCCAUUUUUGUUACUUUCCUUGUUCUCUUGUACUACACUCUUAUUCUUCCUCCUCCUGUUUCUUCGCCGAUCACCUAAAGCUUUAGUGGCCUUAAAAGAGCUGCUAGCCAAAGACUUCUUUUUU